rnacentral:rRNA from 1 species
UACAGAGGUCCCAAGCGUUGUUCGGAUUCAUUGGGCGUAAAGGGUGCGUAGGUGGCGCCGUAAGUGGGGUGUGAAAUUUCGGAGCUUAACUCCGAAACUGCAUUCCAUACUGCGGUGCUUGAGGACUGGAGAGGAGACUGGAAUUCAUGGUGUAGCAGUGAAAUGCGUAGAGAUCAUGAGGAAGACCAGUGGCGAAGGCGGGUCCCUGGACAGUUCCUGACACUGAGGCACGAAGGCUAGGGGAGCGAACGGG